UACGUAGGCAGCGAGCGUUGUUCGGAAUUACUGGGCGUAAAGAGUGCGUAGGCGGUGUUCUAAGUCUGGUGUGAAAUCUCCCGGCUCAACCGGGAGGGUGCGCCGGAAACUAGGAUGCUAGAGGGUGGGAGAGGUAAGCGGAAUUCCUGGUGUAGCGGUGAAAUGCGUAGAUAUCAGGAGGAACACCUGUGGUGUAGACAGCUUACUGGACCACUUCUGACGCUGAGGCACGAAAGCGUGGGUAGCAAACAGG
rnacentral:rRNA from 1 species